GAUGAAGAACGUAGCGAAAUGCGAUACUUGGUGUGAAUUGCAGAAUCCCGUGAACCAUCGAGUCUUUGAACGCAAGUUGCGCCCGAAGCCAUUAGGCCGAGGGCACGCCUGCCUGGGCGUCACGCGUCGUUGCCCCCCCAUCUACUCCUUCGGGAUUGCGGGGGGCGGAUGAUGGCCUCCCGUGCGCCUCGUCGCGCGGUUGGCAUAAAUGCCAAGUCCUCGGCGACGCACGCCACGACAAUCGGUGGUUGCGAAACCUCGGUUGCCCGUCGUGUGCGGUCGUCGCGCAUCGAGGGCUCGAAAAAAUUGCCGGGCUCCGGCUCGGCUUUCAACGCGACCCCAGGUCAGGCGGGGUUACCCGCUGAAUUUAAGCAUAUCAAUAGCGGAGGA
rnacentral:misc_RNA from 1 species